AUACUUACCUGGAUGGGCUCUAUGUCUGAUCAUUAAGAGCCAUGGCCUAAGCUAAUGGCCUCCAUUGCACUUGGGAGGAGCAUUAGCCUCGGUCCUAUAAUUUUGAGGGCCCCUAUGCGAGCUCAUUGCAAUGAGUCUUCUAUGUUGUAUAAUUUUUUUAUCAUACAUA